ACAGUCUCAGAUUGUUUUAAAAGGUUCCCCACAAUACAGAGAAGAUUAGCAUGGCCCCUGCACAAGGAUGACACGCAAAUUCGUGAACCAUUCCAUACAUUU